rnacentral:rRNA from 1 species
GACGAACGCUGGCGGCGUGCUUAACACAUGCAAGUCGAACGGUAAGGCCCUUCGGGGUACGCGAGUGGCGAACGGGUGAGUAACACGUGGGUGAUCUGCCCUGCACUUCGGGAUAAGCCUGGGAAACUGGGUCUAAUACCGGAUAGGACCACUGCCUGCAUGGGGGGUGGUGGAAAGCUUUUGCGGUGUGGGAUGGGCCCGUGGCCUAUCAGCUUGUUGGGGGGGUGAUGGCCGACCAAGGCGACGACGGGUAGCCGGCCUGAGAGGGUGACCGGCCACCCUGGGACUGAGAUACGGCCCAGACUCCUACGGGAGGCAGCAGUGGGGAAUAUUGCACAAUGGGCGCAAGCCUGAUGCAGCGACGCCGCGUGAGGGAUGACGGCCUUCGGGUUGUAAACCUCUUUCAGCACCGACGAAGCGCAAGUGACGGUAGGUGCAGAAGAAGGACCGGCCAACUACGUGCCAGCCGCCGCGGUAA